rnacentral:rRNA from 1 species
UACGGAGGAUGCAAGCGUUAUCCGGAAUGAUUGGGCGUAAAGCGUCCGCAGGUGGCAGUUCAAGUCUGCUGUCAAAGACCGGGGCUUAACUUCGGAAAGGCAGUGGAAACUGAACAGCUAGAGUACGGUAGGGGCAGAGGGAAUUUCCGGUGGAGCGGUGAAAUGCGUAGAGAUCGGAAAGAACACCAACGGCGAAAGCACUCUGCUGGGCCGACACUGACACUGAGAGACGAAAGCUAGGGGAGCGAAUGGG